UACGGAGGGGGCUAGCGUUGUUCGGAAUUACUGGGCGUAAAGCGCACGUAGGCGGCUUUGUAAGUUAGAGGUGAAAGCCCGGGGCUCAACUCCGGAAUUGCCUUUAAGACUGCAUCGCUAGAAUUGUGGAGAGGUAAGUGGAAUUCCCGGUGUAGCGGUGAAAUGCGCAGAUAUCGGGAAGAACACCCGUGGCGAAGGCGGCUCUCUGGGACGGUACUGGACGCUGAGACGCGAAAGCGUGGGGAGCGAACAGG
rnacentral:rRNA from 1 species